UACGGAGGGUGCAAGCGUUAUCCGGAUUCACUGGGUUUAAAGGGAGCGUAGGUGGGUUGGUAAGUCAGUGGUGAAAUCCCCGGAGCUUAACUUGGGAACUGCCAUUGAUACUAUCAGUCUUGAAUACUGUGGAGGUUAGCGGAAUAUGUCAUGUAGCGGUGAAAUGCUAGAUAUGACAUAGAACACCAAUUGCGAAGGCAGCUCACUACACGAAUAUGACACUGAGGCACGAAAGCGUGGGAUCAAACAGG
rnacentral:rRNA from 1 species